rnacentral:lncRNA from 1 species
UCGUUAUAUGUUAUUUGCCUUAAAAAAUAAAAAUUGAAUUAUGGGUAAGAGGAUAGAAAAUCACAUUGACAGAAAAGAGGACUGAAACGCCCUGAUUUUUACUGCUGCGUUUACUUUUUGAAGAGCUCAGAUCAGGAGCGAAUCUUUAUCCAAUAAUUAUAAAAAGUUCAUAUUUCAAAUAAAGGAGAAUUCCGAAGAAUUAAUAAUUAAAUCUAUCUUAUUUAUUUUUUUCGAUAUCUUAAUUUUUUUGUGACUUAAAUUUUUUUUUUUUUAUGAAGAUUGCUUUAGCCUAAAUUUAACUUAACUAUUUUACCCGGUCCUUGGAAAAUCGUUCUGCUGUACCGUACAUCCGCCUUGGCCGUACAGCAGAAUGACGGUGUUUAAUAACCGUCAUCGAAUAGAAAGAAUCAUUUUUAAUACAUUUCAUGACCGUUUUAUAAUAACCGUCGUUAUAUGUUAUUUGCCUUAAAAAUUUUUUAAAAAAAAGCCGAUAAAAGGAAUAAAGGAAACGCGCAAUCCCUAACCACUCACAUUCGUUGUCUUCUUCUUCAAUUUUCACGAAUUACAAUCACAACGACUCACUCAGUCACACACACCAGCCCUAACCCUACCUAAGCUAUCAAACGCCAAUGCCGCUGCCGCUGUCAAAUCGAUUCAAGUGCUCCGGCGCUGAGUCUAGCCGUCCUUGAGCCGAUUUGCUUCCUUUUUCUGCCGCCGCUGUCAAUCUCUGCCAUUCUUGAGCCGAUUCACUUCCGCAAAACAGCUGCUGUCAUCUCUGCCGACAUUGCCUCUGUGUUCGUUCACCGUCAGAUGCAGGGUUAUUGUGGUGACACUGCCUCCGCUGUCGACUUCCUUCCCUCUUCAUUCUCCGUCUGAAGUUCAACUUUCUUGUAGGUGGAAGUUGCUCGGUUCUUAACAGCAGUUCUCACUGGAGAUUUUAAGUUCCUUCGACAUCUUGUGGGUAGAUAGAUAUUGCUUAGAUAUCGUAUUUUUUCCUUUUGUUGGUUCUCACUUUUGUUCUGACCUUCUUGCAGGACAUAUCCAACAGGGAAGGUUUAGCUUCUGAAGGUGACUGGUAUGACAGAUGUUUCAAUUCACGGUAAUGUUUCUGCUUCUGGAUUGGCUGUGCUGUUAUAAAUUCAUUGUUUUUUUAAUCAAAUUUCGGUGCAUGUUAUGCAGGAUCAUUCCUUUAAAGGAGGUCUCAGAAGAAAGGCCUGAUAUCUGUGUGCUGGCUGAGUUUCCAUCAGAAGGAAGGUUCGUUUUUUCUGAAAGUUUUAUGGUUGAGACUUAAACUUCAUCUGCUGUACGGCCAAGGCGGAUGUACGGUACAGCAGAUAUUUUCUUAAGUUUUUAACUUCUGAUAUUUGCUUUCUAUAAAUGAAGGUCGCUUUUGAGAAGGUUGCACCUUUACAACAUUGAAAGAAUGGAUAAUGCAUCACUGUCUAUGGCAUUGUCUGCCUGCCCAUCUCUCCUUGAUCUAGAAAUUGUUGGCCUGUAAGUUUCUUUAGGCUGGGUUUUCCUUGUAUACAUUUCCUUUGGUUUUAAGAAGGUUGCACCUUUAUAGCAUUCUGCUGUACCGUACAUCCGCCUUGCCGUACAGCAGUAUUUUAUUAAAUAUUAUUUAUUUAUUUUUAUUUUUAUUUUAAGGAUAAAAUGGGAAGAGGGGGGAGUGGAUUCCCACUCCCCACUCCAAAAUUGAGUGGGACCCACGGAUUCCCACUCCCACUCCCCCCUUUUUUAAGGCAAGUAAACACUGGAGUGGGAGGAAUCCACACUCCACACUCCCACUCCAGAAAGUAAACACUACCUAAGUGGAGUUUACUUAUUUGUUAAAAAAAUAAAUUUUAAAUUAUUAAUGAUUUAAUUGUCUUAUGCUUAUUAUAUUGUUCGUAAAAUUUUUGUUACAAGUCCAGCCCAUGAACCUCUUUAUAUUUUAGCAUUUCUUUAUUUAUUUACGAAACGAAAACCAGCGUUCGGAUUCAAAAGGAACAAAACAGAAAAAGGAAGAAAGGAAACAAGAGGAUAACAGGACGUGAGAGAGGAGAAGAGGGAGAAAGAAGAGAAAGACAAGAGAGGCUAGGUGAAGGAUUUGGAUUUAAAGAAAGAGAAUUCAAUUUCAGAGCAAAAUAUUAAAUAUCUGGCUUUUUAAAUUUGUAAGCCUUCUUUCUCAGUUCACUUUAUUCUUUUAUUUUUCUUCAAAAUUCUUGUUUAAAUUGGCAUGCAUGUUGAUGUUGUUAAGUCAUUUCUAAAUUAACUUGCAUGCAUGAUUAAAAUUCUGUUUAUUUAGGUAUUAUGUCAUUGAAAUUAGUCUCUUUUCCCAUGCUUGUUUCAAGUUCCAAUUCUUAUUUGAAAAAAAAAAAAAAAUUCGCUGUUUGUGCCAUAAUCUGUUUUGGGUAUUAAAGUUGAUACUACCUAGCAAAUUCUAAACUGUAAUGGCUGAUUUCUUCUCUUAUUUUUGUUUAAUCUAUUCAAAUUCAUGUAUAAAUUU